rnacentral:rRNA from 1 species
UACGAAGGGGGCUAGCGUUGUUCGGAAUUACUGGGCGCAAAGCGCACGUAGGCGGAAUGUUAAGUCAGGGGUGAAAUCCCGGGGCUCAACCCCGGAACUGCCUUUGAUACUGGCAUUCUCGAGUCCGGAAGAGGUGAGUGGAAUUCCGAGUGUAGAGGUGAAAUUCGUAGAUAUUCGGAGGAACACCAGUGGCGAAGGCGGCUCACUGGUCCGGUACUGACGCUGAGGUGCGAAAGCGUGGGGAGCAAACAGG